UACGUAGGGCGCAAGCGUUGUCCGGAAUUAUUGGGCGUAAAGAGCUCGUAGGCGGUCUGUCGCGUCGAUCGUGAAAACUUGGGGCUUAACCCUGAGCUUGCGGUCGAUACGGGCAUGACUGGAGUUCGGCAGGGGAGACUGGAAUUCCUGGUGUAGCGGUGAAAUGCGCAGAUAUCAGGAGGAACACCGAUGGCGAAGGCAGGUCUCUGGGCCACUACUGACGCUGAGAAGUGAAAGUAUGGGGAGCAAACGGG
rnacentral:rRNA from 1 species